GACGAACGCUGGCGGCGUGCUUAACACAUGCAAGUCGAACGGAAAGGCCCUGCUUUUGUGGGGUGCUCGAGUGGCGAACGGGUGAGUAACACGUGAGUAACCUGCCCUUGACUUUGGGAUAACUUCAGGAAACUGGGGCUAAUACCGGAUAGGAGCUCCUGCUGCAUGGUGGGGGUUGGAAAGUUUCGGCGGUUGGGGAUGGACUCGCGGCUUAUCAGCUUGUUGGUGGGGUAGUGGCUCACCAAGGCUUUGACGGGUAGCCGGCCUGAGAGGGUGACCGGCCACAUUGGGACUGAGAUACGGCCCAGACUCCUACGGGAGGCAGCAGUGGGGAAUAUUGCACAAUGGGCGGAAGCCUGAUGCAGCAACGCCGCGUGCGGGAUGACGGCCUUCGGGUUGUAAACCGCUUUCGCCUGUGACGAAGCGUGAGUGACGGUAAUGGGUAAAGAAGCACCGGCUAACUACGUGCCAGCAGCCGCGGUGAUACGUAGGGUGCGAGCAUUGUCCGGAUUUAUUGGGCGUAAAGGGCUCGUAGGUGGUUGAUCGCGUCGGAAGUGUAAUCUUGGGGCUUAACCCUGAGCGUGCUUUCGAUACGGGUUGACUUGAGGAAGGUAGGGGAGAAUGGAAUUCCUGGUGGAGCGGUGGAAUGCGCAGAUAUCAGGAGGAACACCAGUGGCGAAGGCGGUUCUCUGGGCCUUCCCUGACGCUGAGGAGCGAAAGCGUGGGGAGCGAACAGGCUUAGAUACCCUGGUAGUCCACGCUGUAAACGGUGGGUACUAGGUGUGGGGUCCAUUCCACGGGUUCCGUGCCGUAGCUAACGCUUUAAGUACCCCGCCUGGGGAGUACGGCCGCAAGGCUAAAACUCAAAGGAAUCGACGGGGCCCCGCACAAGCGGCGGAGCAUGCGGAUUAAUUCGAUGCAACGCGUAGAACCUUACCUGGGUUUGACAUGGAUCGGGAGCGCUCAGAGAUGGGUGUGCCUCUUUUGGGGUCGGUUCACAGGUGGUGCAUGGCUGUCGUCAGCUCGUGUCGUGAGAUGUUGGGUUAAGUCCCGCAACGAGCGCAACCCUUGUUCACUGUUGCCAGCACGUUAUGGUGGGGACUCAGUGGAGACCGCCGGGGUCAACUCGGAGGAAGGUGGGGAUGACGUCAAGUCAUCAUGCCCCUUAUGUCCAGGGCUUCACGCAUGCUACAAUGGCUGGUACAGAGAGUGGCGAGCCUGUGAGGGUGAGCGAAUCUCGGAAAGCCGGUCUCAGUUCGGAUUGGGGUCUGCAACUCGACCUCAUGAAGUCGGAGUCGCUAGUAAUCGCAGAUCAGCAACGCUGCGGUGAAUACGUUCCCGGG
rnacentral:rRNA from 1 species